GUGAGUGGAGCUGGAAACAUGCAAAUAAACAAAGUCAAAGGUCAGAGCGCGAUGAUUGUGAGUGUUUAGUAGGCCCGGCAGCUGCUGUUUGAAGCCACGCUAAAGCCAUUGAACACUUAUUCUUCCUUGUUUGGUUUGUGGCUCGGCUUAAGCUUGUUGUUUGUUAGCACAUCAUCCUAUUUUAGCUGUCUAUAAAUCAACUUUUUCAACAACCCAGGUGAAUAAUUCACUGAAAAGUAAAUAUCACAAGUGUGGCCACAUAGCUGGAGCACUAAAAUACUGAAUCCAUAUAAAAAUACAUUACCUGUAUUAUUUCCUCUGCCAAAAAAGAGCAAGUUGUGACUCCUUUUCCUCAUCAUCUGCUGCUAGUUGAGAGCCUGGUGGUGACAGACAGGCUGUGACACCCAGCCCUGGUAAUAGAAGGCAAUUAUAAGCCCUGGCGAGAGCUGUGGCAAUGGGGGAAAACUUUUAUGCAGCCCCCCUCCUGGGGCGCUGACAUGCAGACACACUGAAAUUAAUUGCUACAAAACAUCAGGCGAGCUCAACGCACACAUGCGCGUAAAGUCAAACUCCUGGAAAGGAAAAGAAUGAAACAAUACACAUCAUGCGAUGUCGCAUUGAUGCUUGUGAGGAGGAAGAAGAAGAAGAAGAAAGAGAAGCGGUGAAAAAAACAAGUAGAUCCCUUCCAACAAAUCAUGUUUUCAUCUAAAUAAAGAAGCCAAAGACAAUAGACUCGGGUACCUUGGAGACCAGGAGGACUAUUUCUCCAUGGCAACCAGUGUGGUGUGUGACAAUGCCGCAGUGCGAGGGUUUGAACUGCUAAAGCUGUCUGGGAAUGCAGAGAUAGAUGGGGAGGAAGGAGGAGAGGGGCUCAGAGAGUGAGACCCACGGAGGGCUGUCUGUAUGCUCGUAAUGAGAACACACAUUGUCACAAUCCUACUGCGUGAAGAAUGAAGUUCAUGACUUUCUAACACACAGUAUUUUCUUUUCUUUCUAUCUUUAACCCGAUGCAGAGAAAUCAUGUUCCUCACUAAAUUAUUACACUAACACUGUUUAUGUUUCCAACAGUGCAUAUCCAAAUAUUCUCACAUGUAAACAUUUCUCCAGUGUUGCCAUGGAGUUGUUCCCCUGUUGGGCUGUUAGAAAAUGCAACAGCAUGUGGCCUUUGAGGAGAUUUAUUUUAAUUGUGCGGUGUAUUGUGGCCGAGACAUCGUCAGGCUAUAUGCAGGGUGUGUGCAGUCAGCACACUUGUGGAUACAUGCAGACACAUCGGCCCUUAGACUCGACAGUUUGUGUGUGUGUGUGUGUGUGUGUGUGUGUGGGUGUAAGUGUUUGCCAAGCCACGUGCAGUGUGUUUGGAUUGUAAGACAAACACAAAUAAAGAACGCACAGGUUUGUGUCCUUGUAGAAACCUGUGCAUGAAUUCUUGUGCAAGGAGGGUGAUAGGAAAAAAUCUGACUUCCUGUGUGGUCACUCUUUCUCAAACAUGUGUUUUAAUCACAGAUUUAAUUGGGUUUUUGUUCUAUAAUCUUCAUUCAAGCAGCUAAAAGGAAGAAAAGGAUGUUUUUUUCUCUCUCUCUCUCUCUCUUAUUUGGGGUCGUCCAAGGCUACUUAAUGUCUUUUACAGACUGUACACUAGUGCAAGUCUCAACUCCAUCCUUCUAAUUUCUCCUUGUCAGCAUCACCCGUCAACAAUCAUCAUGCAACCUCCUUUGUGUGUCUUUAUUUUUAUUUGCUGCGCGCUUUAUAGAAAUUCAUUACAGUGUCUGCCGCCAGCGUAGGCAGAAAAAUAUUCCCCCAGCUCAGCUGAACUCUCACCCUCCUUUAAUGUAAACACCGCUCCCCAGUCACGUUUCUCCCAUUAAGGUAAACGUCUGCAUUAUGUAUGAAUCGAGUCUCCUUAAUCCAGUCGCACCAUUAACCUCCACACCCAGACGUUUUUAAGUCCACACAUCAAGAGCUUGAGAGACACAACUCUAACCCUGCUAAUUUGUGAUAAAUCUCUAAAUUUAAAUCAGUAACAGCAAAUUACUCAUUACUUUUAAGGACUUCUGAGUAAUGAAUAAGAUACGGAUUUAGCCUGAUUCAAAAAGUGAAAGUCAUUCCUUCAUUUUUAAAAGAUCUUAUUAUUCUUUAUCCUGAAUUUGAAAUGAGGAGAUUUAUGUAAAGAUAGUUAAUGCCAACAGAUACAGGCACACAAUCAGACAUUAUAAUACCAGAAUUAUCAGAAUAACAAACGACUCAUGCAAUAAGGUGAUGUAAGCAGUAAUCUGUUUACUCAACAUUUUUACACUUACUUCCUUGCUUUUUCAUGAAUCAGACUUUUUAAACUCAAUAUUGAUUUUGAAAUAAUUUGAUAAAUUUAAAAUGGUUAGAUUUGUUUCUAUUGAAAAUAGUCAGUCAUACUUUCAGUUUAAGGUGUGUCUGUAGUAACAGCUAACCCCCAACCUUCUUAGAGAGGCAAAGCUAGCUGUUUUCAUGCACUUCAAACUGAAUUUUCCUCAGUGAGGCAACCCACUGAGUUUUUCUGCCUCACUGUGUCAGAGUCUGUGAUAUUUACAUUUGUCAGUCCUUGAGCACAUUUGUAGAUUUACUUAAAUGUAAGGCUUUCCAAAUAUAACAGUAUGUGGAUAAUGGAUUUUUUCAGAAAAAUCAGACAGAAAAAAAAAAAAAAUAAAAUAAAAUAAAUGCAUGAUAAACAAUGGUAAAAUGAGGCAAUGACCUCUCCAAACAAGUUUCAGUCACAGGGCUGGUGAUGUGGAUGAAUCACAAAUUUGAAGAUCAUAUGAAAUGGUUACAUGUCAGUCACUGGUGUUUAUCAGUAAAGUUCAGGAAAUAAUAUGCUGCUCCACCCUUGUUGCACCUUUCCUUGGCGUGAUGCUUGUGUUGUUUUAUCUGUUUUUUUUCUACAUUUUCUAUAUGUUAUUCAUGAUCUGUGAAAAUCUGCCCUACUUGGAUGUCAAAUCAGCUGGACUCCUUUCUGUGCAUUGAUGUGAUUUCAGAGACUCUGCCAGAGUCUGUGAUCUGGACCACAUCCUCGGCAAUGUUCUGUGAAACAUAUUAACAGACUGCUAUCAAAUAACAGACUGUUGAUAUAAUAACCAGAAUCUACUGCUUUAAAAAAAUCUGUUCUGCAAUGUGAUCACUGUAGUGAGGAGUAGGGAUCAAAACCUGGUUUUACUGAGGACCCAGUUCCACUAUUUUGUGUUUGAGCUAAUGGAUACUGCCAUUGAGUCUCAAGGCUCCCAUGGCAUAAUAACAUAUAUCUAGUUGAGCCUAUUAAAUCAAAUCAAUGCACAGAUGUUGUUUGAUAAAUGGAGUUUUUUAAAUAGAAUAAAAGAUUGGAAAGAAGAGUGGUUGUGAGAAUGGCUGUACAUGUGGGCAGGUCUGAAGUUUGGCUGCUUGCAGUGAAUUCCCCUCUGUUACCUUUGGGCUGAAAAAUUUGAUCACCAUCCACUUAAUGCUGCUUCUACAGGAAAGUCAUCCUCUCGGUGAUAGAUAAACAGUCUUGACAACAGAAUUAAUAUCACUGAAAACAAACCCCCACCAUUCAUUUUCAGUUGAACAUGCCAUAACUGCCUGGGACAAGAAGAGCUAAAGUCAUCCUGAACUUCCUCCAAAAGUAAAAAAAAAAUUAGCUCUACUGCUGAGUGAUCUAUCGCAGAGGUUGUCGUCAUCAAAAUUAGCUGCAGUCUUUUACCAGCACAAGUUACUCUUCACAUAAAGCUUCAGCGAGGAUUUUUCAACUAGAUAUGAAAUAAACUAUACGACUAACACUGAUGUUUCCAAAUGGCCUAUAAAAACAAACCAGACCAUCAUCAGAGAAGUCGAUAAUGUCUACAGUCAUCUUUGAUGUCUGUCACUGCUGUCACCAGGUUAGCAUAAAAAGCUCGCAACCCAAAGAGUCCUUUACGCAAAUAUUCAGCAGGAAGGAUUCACAGAGAGUUUGAAGAUUUUUUGGUGAGAGAAUUGUAGCCACAUGUGCACAGAAAGAGUUUUGUCAAGGGGUUUGCAAAAAAAGGCAUAAAACUGAUAGCUCCUCAUAGUAUCUUUAUUUCAUCAUCUGGCUGCUGCAGAGCUUUUAAAACCUGAUGCUGAAUCUUCAGUCCAAGUGACCCAAACUGACAUUUGGCCCCCAAGUCUCAACUCCUGAAAAACCCAUUGUCCCAUAAGCCAAAUGCUUCUGACAGUUAUUUAUUUAUUCAUCCUCCCCUCCUCCUCUUUUUUUCCUUUUUCCUUGGAAGCAUACUAAGAGUGUUAGUGUUGUUUGUGGUUUUUGUGUGUCUGCCUCAUCAGCCGUCAUGCCUGCUGACGUCUGGCACUCGGAGUUAAACGAUUAUCGUAUGAUUGUAAAAGUGUUGCAGGGCUUUCUGAUGGAGACCUGUCUUCUCAGCCCUGUAGGCUAUCCCACAUCGGCAGUCUCUAGCUGGGGUAGAGGGGAGGAGGGAGAGGGGCUUAUGUGAAUCAACCUGUCGUACCUGCCCUGAGGCCCACCUGUCAACAACUCAGCGACAGCCGCUUUCUCUCUCUCCUGUCUCUCUGUCGCUUUCUGCCUCGGCUUCUCCAUCACUUCCUCUGUAUCUCUCCUCACCCGUUUAUCUCUCUGCCUCUCGCUCUCUCGCUCUCUGCGUCACUUUUCUUCAGCUGCAACGCCACAAAACAAAUAACUCUCACCUGAGCGGAUGUGCCGCUCAGACUGUCAUUUUCACUUCACAGCGAGUUAUUGGGAAUAGCUUUAGCCAUUGGACCCAAGGAGGCUAUUUGUCUUGGCAACUUCUGAUGUGACUCAAAACUCAAAUAAACUCUGGAGAACAACUUAAAUGUUUGUGUGUGUGUGUGUGCGUGUGUGAGUGAGCAAGAACUUGCCUGUUUGUAUAACACCAGGUUUAAACAGGUCAUCCUUGAAAAGGCAGGGUGAUUUCAGCUUUUCUUUACUAAAUUUCAGUAGCUCUGGUUUUGUAUUUAUAGCUUUUGGUCCAUAGAGAAAAAAAGAUAAAAACCCAAACCUGCCAAGCCUUUCUUAGAGUUCUCUCAAUAAACGUCAAGGUCCAAGGAGUGAGCAAGGGUGAUGGCGUGACUGUCUGAUGCAAUAAUAAACCCACGCUCGUCCACAUAAACAGAUGUGGACUGGCUGAGCUCCAUUUGACUGCGGACUAAAGCAAAGUUUAAAUUCCUGACAAAAAAAAAAAAUCUGAAGCCUGUAGUAGAAUAAAAACAGGUCUGUGAGUCUGGAUGUUUUCUGUCUGCUCCACGUACGUAUGCUCAUGACUCACACCCAAACGUGUUGGCUAAAGACAACAAACCAAGCCGCUCCUCAGUCUGGACGCUGAGGCCACAUCUUCGUGCCUCCAGCGCUCCUUCCUGUCUGCCUCUGUGUCCAUGUGAGGACGUCAGCAGAAUGAGGAGCAGCUAGUUAGUCAGCCCAGGCAAUCAGCCAAUGAGAAGAUUUAUCCUUGUGCAUCUAACAUGCAACAUCCAGUUAGCUUUCAGGAAAACUUAAAAUGGAUCUGAGCUGUGUCUAAUACACUCCUCAACUCAAAGCUAAUGAGGCUGUUUAAGUGUUCACACAUGAAUAUUAAGUUCCUUUUCAGAGAAAGUAACAAGAUUCUCAUGUUGACAUUUAUAAAAUAUUGUAAAAUUAUGAGGAAAAUAUUCCCAAAAGUAUCAAAGUGAGUAACUAAGUCCCUUUUUUAAUCUAUUAAGUAUCUUUUGAGCUAAAUCUUCAAUUUUAGCACAAACUGUAGUUCUUAUGGCAUUACUGUGGCACACAAGAGGAGGUGUGGAACAAUACUGUACAGGGGGCUCUUUUGACGUGAAAUAGUUUUAGUUUUUGUCCUUCCAAAAUACUGUUACCCAAACUGACCACCAGAGGUCCUUACAUCCUGUUAAACUGUUGUUAUCGCAGAAAGCUAGCUAGCAAAAUGCAAACUGUUCGUCACCUUAAAUUCCAUAUUUAGUUUAGAUAAUCUGGCUUUCUGUUUCAAAAGGCAUUCUUUUACAUUUCAUAAACUUUCUAGACUUGGUAGUUUGGUACUUUAGUCAAAAAGACAAUGACUUUAUCCCUAAAUUUAUGUUCGCUAACAUUUUAAUCCAGUGUGAGAAACAUAAAUCUACUUUUUGCUCCUCAUGGAGUAUAUUGCUGCUGCUGCAUUUUACUCAGAUUACCGUCUCCUGAGUCACUUGGAUACAUUAAGGUGAUAAAACAUAAAUAACAUAGACAUAGACAUUACUCUAAGCUGUUGCUUUUAUGUUCAAUACUUCCGACUGUCUUUGCUGGUAGACUUCUACCAUCAUUUUGGCUUUUAUUUUGAAAAAUUUUAAUUUUCACCUCCACCUGCUGUCUAACCAAAACAGAAGAUUUCAAUAUUCAAAAUGAGUAAAAGCUUAGGGUAAUUUUCUGUGUUCAUACUUGUCAUAAUCCUUUACUAGGCCUGAUGAGCCGAUACACUAACUUCUUAAACCACAAACAAUGAACCACAAAUGAUAGCUCAGAUGUCACCCGCAGAUCUGACCUAUUAUACAUCAGUUCUAUCAGCAUGCCGGGGUCAUGCCGCCCACAGACUCGGGUCUACACAGCUCAGACAAACAGAAAAGUGUUUUGUGGCAACCUUUAAAUGUUACCCGUUGCUGUGCUGUGGCUGCAGCAUGGUUUGGGGAAGCCCCUCUUUUCAGCGCACUACCGGUGACUCAUCAGGAGCUGAAAGGUCAGAGGUCAGAUCUUUUGUCACAUGGAUCAAACAAACAGGCCGGGGGCUCAGUGAGUCACACGUCCUCAGGGGGACAUGUUUGGUAAUUGUGUCUCAGUCACCUACCACCCCGAGGAGACGACAACAGGCGGAUGAGCAGAUAGAGCGGCUAUUUGAUGCUGGGGCCCUGUUUCUGUGUGAUACACUUAUACUGAAGCCUGAGGGGUGGGACGACAGAGAGGGAUGCCUGCAGUUACCAGGGAUUGUCACAGAUUGUUUUUCAAACACUUCUAAGGCCUAAAGCUUCACUUGGUGAGCUCCCAGGAGUGAAAGAAAACCCAUGAGCUGACCCGCAGUACACUCAUAAUCUGCUAACACGAGGCAGCCUCAUUUCCAGAAAAAAAAAAAAUGUGUGGCUGCUUCAGUGCAGCAACAGGUGGUGCUCUGUAAUCUGCAUUGUGCUGUAAUGGAUUAGAUUUCACUAAGUUAGCCAAGGUUUAUGAUGAGUGGACCUCUGAGUAGAGGUGUCAAGUAUUUAAACAGACGUACAGCUCUGGAUGUCUUCAUGCAUGAUUGUUUCCAAAAUCCCAUUAGAUCCAUUUGGCUUUUCAUGCGUGUCAAUUAGUUCAAAGAUUUUUCCACAAACUCUUCCACUAUGCCAGUUUCCGACAGAUUUUAUCCCUCUAACGCCAGUUUGUCUUUUCCCAGGCACAUCUUGCUCUACUUGUAAAAAGGUCAGGCCACACACUCCUGCAGGCGUCCCUUUAAAAGCUGGGAGAAGAAUGACAUUUAUCAAAUACGCUCCUAUCAUGUUCUCUGCUCUCCUCUACGGCUCUGCAUGACUGUGGGGCUAAUAUUCAGCCUGUCACUCUAGCUGAGACCAUCAGGCCUGCUCUCCUCCCCCAUUUAAUUAUCAACCCCGUGUGCUGUAAGGACCCCAAACACAUCUCAGCUAAAUUUAAUCUUUUAUCAUCCUCGAGUCCACCACUCUUAUCCCAUCCCUUUUGCCAAAAUAAAAGCGUGAAAGUCUCAUCCGUGCUCCAAAAUAAUCAGGUCCUCUCUCCCUCCCUUCCUCUCUCUCUCUCUCCUUUUCUGUCAUUACACACACCCCUCCUCAUCCUUGUCCCCGCUGCCACAUUAUGUAACACACAGGCUUUGGUAACUGUAACCAUCCAGCCACUAAUCUAGAUCCGCCCAUCAUGGGAGCACACAAGGCUGCACACACCUGUAUGCUAAUGCAAAGGGAUUGCACCACCAGUUGGUGUGGGCGGCCCAGUAGGUGCAGAGGUGUGACUGAAGAGCAUGAGUGUCUGUCUGUCUGCCUGUCUGCCUAUCUCUCUGUCUGUCUUCCCGUCUUUCUGCCUGGCAGUAGAUGCUGACAAAUACCGGCACAAAGCUCCCACGUACUGUAUGUGGGUGUGUGGAUUCUCUUUUGGGCUCUGUAUUUUCUAUUUUUCUCUCACCCUCACCCUUCCUUCCCACCUUCUCCAUCUCUUUAUUUUCUCAUCCUGCCUUCUUCUCCUCACUCUCUACUGUAAAACAUCUCUAUUUCUUCACUCCCUCUUAUUUUGACUCCUCCAGCUCCUCUCCUUUUCUUUCUUCCACCUCCUCUCUCAGUUUUUGGCUCCCCUACUUCUUCAUCUCUUCCUUGUGGCAAAUUAGGGCAUGAUUAAAUAUCUACCAAAGCUUCCGCUGUGUGUGUGUGUGUGUGUGUAUGUGUGUGUGUGAACAGGGGCGUUGUGGCUGCGUAGGUAAAGGGAGAGCCUUUGUUUCUCUCUGCCUGGCAGAGCGUUGGAGUUUCAUCAGACGAGGACUCCUCUGGUUGUUUUGUGUGGGCAGCAGGGGGAAACACACUGAGGAGUGUGAACCAGCUGACCCAAACACUCACAAAAACACACGCAAGCACAUAUGUAACAGUGUACACACACACGUAACAGCGCUCACACACACACAGACUAAUUCUCCUUCCCUUGCCCUUCCAGCAUCUGCUUCCACCCCCUCCAUGCAUCGGAGUGAGGGAGGCCCAAACAGCCGCUGUGAACUGUUUAUCAUCUUUAUUACUUUAUUACUUUUCUGACAGUUUUCCCUAACCUGAUUUUAUUACUUUGUCAUCAGAUGAUGAGUUCUCUCAUCUGCUCCCUCUCUGCUCUUUCUUCUUUGCUUUGCCACAGAUUUAUCGACCUUGGUAACUGAUGCAUGACAGCAGCAAGGGAUGCAGACAGGAGUUUAGAUUUGGCAAAACAACUUCACCGCACAGGCUCUUUAUGCAACUCACCGACAUUGUGUCCUGACGUUCUUGCCUUUUUUCUUCUUUCCUUCAACCAAAAGAACUGGAUAUGAGUUUCAUCUCCCUCUCUGGAAACAAAAUACAAGUCAUACAAGUGAACAUGUGCGGUGGGAGCCCCAUUUCCCUCCUAAAAUAUGACACUGCUGUGCAGAACCCCAUACCUUCAAAAGUGAUUAGAUUUGAUCAUUUAUACAUAUCUGACUGUAUGAAUAAACAGCAUUACACAUUCUCCAGCUGCGCCCUCUACUUCAGGCUUAUUUGGAUUUUGUGAAGGAGCCUCUGCUCCAGAUCAUCCAUAAUAAAUGACAGAAUUUCGCUAUCAGACUAAUGGUGGUAAACAAAGAGAUUUGCCAGAGGCUGAAUGGGAAACGCCUGGGAGAGAAUAAAGACCAAAAACCUACUCUAUCUAUCUAUCUAUCUAUCUAUCUAUCUAUCUAUCUAUCUAUCUAUGUCUGUCUGUCUUGAUUUAAAUCUGUAAAUAAAGGGAAGAUGAACACCAUGUGUGAGUAAUGAAACACUAUUUUGAGUCUAAUUCAAAUGAUUUUGAAGUAUACCUGCGCCACCUCUUCUUUUUCUUCUCUCUCUCUCUCUCUCUCUCUCUCUCUCUCUCUCUCUCUCUCUCUCUCUUUCUGUCUUUCUUUCUCUAAGGCCACCUCAGUGUCCUGCCCACGAUGUCUCCCAAUGAGGUUGCUCGCAUAUAGAUCCAGUCAGCAGCAAGGGAAACACAUUGAUUUCCCGUCAGCAUCCACCGAGCAGUGCUGGCGCGCCGGCCGAGGCUGGAGCAGCCUGGGGGGGAACAUCGGCAUCCCGCAGGCGUCCUGGCAGCUGCGCGCAGUGUUGUUAAUGCGGCCCAUUAGACCGCUGAGUGGCAGAGAGAUUCCCCGAAUAUCGAGCCGGGGACACCCCUCAAUUACGGAUCGGCCCGCACCUCGUCAGCAUCCGCGACUAUCCGCUCUCAUUAAUCAAUGCCAAAGCCGAGAGAGAGAUGCAAAGUUCAUUUAAAAGCAAGUUUGCAAGCAGCCUGCGGAGUUUGCACAGCCUUAUAGUUACCUACCUUUGUAGUUGUUUAAAUAUAGUCACUUUAACAAAUAUUAACAUCAAUUCAACAUGGAGC